UUCUUUAAAUACAUCUUUUUUCUCUCUCAAACGUACAAUCAGAUAGCUUCCGAGCUUAUUUUCGAGGUUGAUUUUUCAUGCUCUCCUUAAUAAGGAAGUUGCCGCCACGAAAAUGCAAAGGGCUGCCGUCGGUGGUUGUACAUCACCUGCGUAUGAACUGUUCUUUCCGCGAAUAAUUGGUUAGUUCUUGAUUUUGGAUUCAAAAUAACGUUAAUACUCACUUAUAAAUGUAAACACAGUAACAUGAAUAUCGAUGUUGGAGGUUCGAUGUGUUAAUCAACCAAGCUUAAUGUUUUUGGUUUUCUAAAUAUGGUUAUGUAUGUAUGUAUGUUAUUAUAUGAUUGUAUGUUGAUUGCUUUU